GGAGUAGAACACCUGUUUAGGAGAGGUGCUGGCUAGCGGAGUAGAACACCUGUUUAGGCGAGGUGCUGGCUAGCGGAGUAGAACACCUGUUUAGGAGAGGUGCUGGCUAACGGAGUAGAACACCUGUUUAGGAGAUGUGCUGGCUAGAGGAGUAGAACACCUGUUUAGGAGAGGUGCUGGCUAGAGGAGUAGAACACCUGUUUAGGCGAGGUGCUGGCUAGCGGAGUAGAACACCUGUUUAGGCGAGGUGCUGGCUAGAGGAGUAGAACACCUGUUUAGGCGAGGUGCUGGCUAGCGGAGUAGAACACCUUUUUAGG
rnacentral:lncRNA from 1 species